rnacentral:rRNA from 1 species
UACGGAGGGAGCUAGCGUUGUUCGGAAUUACUGGGCGUAAAGCGCACGUAGGCGGCUUUGUAAGUUAGAGGUGAAAGCCCGGGGCUCAACCCCCGGAAUUGCCUUUUAAGACUGCAUCGCUUGAAUCCGGGGAGAGGUGAGUGGAAUUCCGAGUGUAGAGGUGAAAUUCGUAGAUAUUCGGAAGAACACCAGUGGCGAAGGCGGCUCACUGGACCGGUAUUGACGCUGAGGUGACGAAAGCGUGGGGAGCAAACAGG